GAAAGGACCGCUGUGUGUAAUGGGGGGAAAAAGACCUGUUUGGUACCAGCUCUCACCAUUUCUCAGACUAAGUUCUCAUGCUGUAGUGAGGAGCACGGUAUAAAUAGAAAGGCUAGAUUUUAGCCACUGAAUUCAAAGUUAUGGUUUCCACAGCAACCAGCACUCAGGCAGUCAUCUACGGAGGUCUCUUGCAGUUUUUGGCAAGCCCUUGGCCUGGAAAAGCAAGACAAAGGAGGAAAAAGUUAAUGUCAAAGUAGAAAAGGAAGAGGUUACGUCUAUAAGGUAAGUGGUGGGAAGAGAUGGAUUGUUGAAAGCAAUCACUUUGCAUUGUGGUUGAGAAACGUUUUUUCCGGUAGCAGCAAGUCUCUGUAUUAUUAUGAUUUCGUAGCCCAUGCUGCAAUAAUAUAAAUACUUGGAACAUAUUAGGUCUUUUAACCUUUGGACACAGUAAUCUUGUGUAGGAGAGAAUUCUGCAAAGCUCCACGUUAUUCAGUAUGUCUGUGUUCAGUUGUUUUUCCCCUUCAUGUGCUCUGUUCCUAACGUUAGUACAGUUUUCCACCUCAUGGAUUAAUAAUUUAAACACCUGGACUGAUUAAAUAUAUGCAUCUGAGCUAGGAACAAUCACAAUCAUCUUUUGAUUCAAGAAGUGACUUCUGAAGUUUAAAGCAACUGAAAAUAGCAUCAUCACAGAAACAUCAAGCAUAACCAUGACGUUACAGUAAUAGUUUUCAAGUUUCUGGUGGUGUGCGUUUGCCUUCCUAUUAGUGACAUCUCAUUGAACAAUCAAGGUUUUAUUGACAACUCAUUUACUUUGGCUAAUUGUAUGACUUACUGAAGGGCAGGACUGUCUUUCCCUUCGCAGAACCACAUGGAGACUUCGAUGCAGAGCUGUUCUCUGGUGUGCAGCGACUUGAUUGCUUUGUCGGAUAGCGUUUCAUGAAGGCAAAGGGAUUGCAGAAAGUUCAAGGAAACUUCUGCCAGUGAAUUUGUGAAUGUGUUGCCUUUGAAGCUCCCCGCAGGUAGCAUCCUUUGGGCUGAGCGUGGUGCCGGGCUGUAGAGGUGGCCAGGCUCGCGGAGGGGAAGAGGACAGGUGGUUGCUCCUGAGAGGCCAGGACAUGGCUGUGACUUGUGUAGGCUGUGUCAUCCUUUCCCUUGAUGCCAGGAGCUGAGCCCUGUGG
rnacentral:lncRNA from 1 species